CUAUUUUGGACCCACUUAUUCCGUCCUUAUCUUCAGAGAGAUAUGCAUUAAAAUUUCAGAGGGUUGCAUUCUACCUGAAUGAUGCACUCGAAUUAGCACAACCGGGUUGGAAGUCUGAUACAUUUUUCUGGCCACGUAAAUCACCAAUUGAUGUUCCGACGAGCGUAGACCGGGAUGAAUCUGGUUAUUUUGUUUUCAAUUUUAUGCUCUCAUGGCAUGGUAACAAAUUUGUUCGUCCAAUUUGCACGGAUGGUUAUCAGUUGAGAAAGAAUUUGUUGAUACACUUGCUCGAGUAUCAUGCGAAUGAAGCUGAAGACAA